rnacentral:snRNA from 1 species
GGUGGGGAGGGAAGCUGGAGCCCAUCCCCUCCGAGGGCUGAUCUGGCUGGCUAGGCGGGUGUCCCCUUUUUCCCUCACCACUCCAUGUGCGUCCCUCCCAAAGCUGCGCACUCGGUCGAAGAGGACGGCCUUCCCCGAAUAGAGACGAAACAGUCUUCGGUCGAUGGUAUACGAGUAGCUGCGGUCCCCUGCUAGAACCUCCAACAAGCUCUCACAAAAUAUUAUAAAACAUAAUUACACAAUUGUAAGGAUAUAAGGGCUUCAACAUAUAAAUUUGGGUAGGUGAGUGGAGACAUACUUCAGUAUGU